rnacentral:rRNA from 1 species
CUGGUUGAUCCUGCCAGUAGUCAUAUGCGUGUCUCAAAGAUUAAGCCAUGCAUGUCUAAGUACAAGCCUCAGUAAGGUGAAACCGCGAAUGGCUCAUUAAAUCACACCUAAUCUACUGGAAAGUUACAAGUUACUUGGAUAACUGAGGUAAUUCUUGAGCUAAUACAUGCGAAAAAUCUCGACGCACGGAGAGACGCUUUUAUUAGAUCAAAACCAAACGGCUUCGGCCGUAACAUUGGUGAGUCUGAAUAACUUUUGGCUGAUCGUAUGGCCUUGUGCCGACGACGUUUCCUUUGAUGGU